ACAAGCGGUGGAUGAUGUGGUUUAAUUCGAUGCAACGCGAAAACCUUACCACCUUUGACAUGUACGGAAUCCUUUAGAGAUAGGGAGUGCUCGAAAGAGAGCCGUAACACAGGUGCUGCAUGGCUGUCGUCAGCUCGUGUCGUGAGAUGUUGGUUAAGUCCCGCAACGAGCGCAACCCUUGUCAUUAGUUGCUACAUUCAGUUGGGCACUCUAAUGAGACUGCCGGUGACAAACCGGAGGAAGGUGGGGAUGACGUCAAGUCCUCAUGGCCCUUAUAGGUGGGGCUACACACGUCAUACAAUGGAUGGUACAAAGGGUCGCCAACCCGCGAGGGGGAGCCAAUCCCAUAAAGCCAUUCGUAGUCCGGAUCGCAGUCUGCAACUCGACUGCGUGAAGUCGGAAUCGCUAGUAAUCGUGGAUCAGAAUGUCACGGUGAAUACGUUCCCGGGUCUU
rnacentral:rRNA from 1 species